GCUGACAGCGCUCAGUGUUAGUGUAACAACAUUUUGGGUUGUCAGAGGCAACGUGUGUGUACUUACUGUUGGACUGAAGCCAAAAAAACUUGAUUUAAUAACUGACUUUGUUAUGGUUCCAAUAAGCUCUAACAACAACAACCCAGGCAGUGUUGCUGGCCCUGGACUUUGACUUGGCCGGCCCACAACAAUCGCUCAUCUCUCUGUCCCUCAUCAUCACAUGUGGCCCUACCAUGCUGAGGCUGCACAACUGUCUGGCUCACCUCAACUCUCUCUUCUUCACUCAUGCUGCUAACUUCUUGGAUGCUGCUGCUAACGUCAACUUGUGCCUCAGUGCUGCUGCCGGCUGUGCUGCUGAACAUUUCAGUGAGCUUGUGACAUUUAGCGGCUUCACUUUCUAAAUGUCGCAUUUUUCUUUCCCUCGCCUUCUCAGCCCCACCCCUUUCUUUGCGUUUUCUAUCCAUAUUUUUGUGCUUCACUACUAUUACCAAAGAUCGUCUUUGCUGCUACUUCUCCUGCUUCUUCUUCUUCUUCUUCUUCUUCUUCUUUUCUAUUAGCUGGUGGGCACCUUACAGUCUAUGGUGGGCACGGCGGCUGCCGGCUGGCAUCCAACUUAAAGACAUAUUGUUGCCACCUACCGGACUGGAGUGUGAAACAGUAGAUUAGCAGGAAAAAAACAAAAAACAAACUGGUGAUGACUGCGUGGCGGCCGCCGGCCGUCCUGGAGUACCGGCCGUUCUGUGAUUCUCCAGAACACACAGAUGGCCAGUCCGCCCCUGGUCUUCAGUGUUUCCUGUGUAAUUUUGCCCUCAUUGUUUUCACCUGUGCCGUUAGUCUCACCUGUGUCUGAUUACCCCUUGUCUAUUUAGUCUCUAGCUGUUUUCGAAACC